rnacentral:rRNA from 1 species
UGACCUAAACCCUCACCAGAGUAACAAUUGGAGGGCAAGUCUGGUGCCAGCAGCCGCGGUAAUUCCAGCUCCAAUAGCGUAUAUUAAACUUGUUGCAGUUAAAAAGCUCGUAGUUGAAUUUUUGCGUCACCGUGUAUCGACAUUGGUCGUUUAUCGGUUUCGCUUUUGGGAUUUAUCCCUUUUUACUUUGAGAAAAUUAGAGUGUUUCAAGCAGACUUUUGUCUUGAAUACUUCAGCAUGGAAUAAUAGAGUAGGACUUUGGUUCUAUUUUGUUGGUUUGUGAACCUUAGUAAUGGUUAAUAGGAACGGUUGGGGGCAUUCGUAUUUAACUGUCAGAGGUGAAAUUCUUAGAUUUGUUAAAGACGAACUACUGCGAAAGCAUUUGCCAAGGACGUUUUCAUUAAUCAAGAACGAAAGUUAGGGGAUCGAAGACGAUCAGAUACCGU